rnacentral:rRNA from 1 species
UUAAGCAUAUCAAUAAGCGGAGGAAAAGAAACUAACAAGGAUUCCCCUAGUAACUGCGAGUGAAGCGGGAAAAGCUCAAAUUUUGAAUCUGGCGGUCUUUUGGCCGUCCGAGUUGUAAUCUAGAGAAGCGUUUUCCGCGCUGGACCGUGUAUAAGUUUCCUGGAAUGGAACGUCGUAGAGGGUGAGAAUCCCGUCUUUGACACGGACUACCAGGGCUAUGUGAUGCGCUCUCGACGAGUCGAGUUGUUUGGGAAUGCAGCUCAAAUAGGGUGGUAAAUUCCAUCUAAAGCUAAAUACAGGCGAGAGACCGAUAGCGAACAAGUACCGUGAGGGAAAGAUGAAAAGAACUUUGGAAAGAGAGUUAAACAGUACGUGAAAUUGCUGAAAGGGAAACGCUUGAUGUCAGUCGCGUCGGCCGGGGAUCAGCCUUGCUUUACCGCUCGGCGUACUUCCUGGUCGACGGGUCAGCAUCAGUUUUGACCGUCGGAAAAGGACUGGAGGAAUGUGGCACUCUUUCGGGAGUGUGUUAUAGACUCUGCUCGAAUACGAUGGUUGGGACUGAGGAACUCAGCACGACCUUAGGGUUCGGGGCUUCGGCCCACGUUUGCGUGCUUAGGAUGCUGGCAUAAUGGCCUUAAGCGACCCGUCUUGAAACACGGACCAAGGAGUCUAACGUGCAU